GCUCGGUUAGCUCAGUUGGUUAGAGCGUCGUACUAAUACAAUCAUAAGUUGUAUCAAGUAAUGCGAAGGUCAUGAGUUCGACCCUCAUACUGAGCA
rnacentral:tRNA from 1 species